AGACUCCUACGGGAGGCAGCAGUGAGGAAUAUUGGACAAUGGGCGAGAGCCUGAUCCAGCCAUGCCGCGUGCAGGACGACUGCCCUAUGGGUUGUAAACUGCUUUUAUACAGGAAGAAACCUAUCCACGUGUGGAUAGCUGACGGUACUGUAAGAAUAAGGAUCGGCUAACUCCGUGCCAGCAGCCGCGGUAAUACGGAGGAUCCAAGCGUUAUCCGGAAUCAUUGGGUUUAAAGGGUCCGUAGGUGGACAAUUAAGUCAGGGGUGAAAGUUUGCAGCUUAACUGUAAAAUUGCCUUUGAUACUGGUUGUCUUGAAUCAUUAUGAAGUGGUUAGAAUAUGUAGUGUAGCGGUGAAAUGCAUAGAUAUUACAUAGAAUACCAAUUGCGAAGGCAGAUCACUAAUAAUGUAUUGACACUGAUGGACGAAAGCGUGGGGAGCGAACAGGAUUAGAUACCCUGGUAGUCCACGCCGUAAACGAUGGUCACUAGCUGUUCGAACUUCGGUUUGAGUGGCUAAGAGAAAUUGAUAAGUGACCCACCUGGGGAGUACGUUCGCAAGAAUGAAACUCAAAGGAAUUGACGGGGGCCCGCACAAGAAGC
rnacentral:rRNA from 1 species